GAUAUCUCAUGUCAUCUAGAAAUAUAUACAUCAGGCUGGGUGCAGUGGCUCAUAUCUAUUAUCCCAGCACUUUGGGAGGUUGAAGCAGGAGGAUCCCUUGAGGUCAGGAGUUUGAAACCAGCCUGGCCAACAUGGGCUUGCAGAGUGACCUGGUCCAGCACCUGUCCACCUAUCUGUGCUUGUCUCUAGUGGUGGCACAGUUUGUGCUGUCCUGCCUUGCAGAUCAACCUUCCUUCUAACCUAAAGACCCUCAUCAGUCUUCAUUUGUGAGUCCUGCACUAAAUGGCCUUCAGUCCAGAGACCAGACAUCAGACAGCAAUCUGGACCUCUUCCUUGAUGGGAGGUGAGACCUCCAGGAGAGGAAAACGCCUGCUAUGGAGUCUGCAGGCUGAAUACAGUGACUCUCUGGGCAAACAGCUAGAAGAGAAGUGAACAAAAUCUCCAGCCAGAAAGAAAACUUCCCAGUCAACUCUUCCCUGUCCCCGUUUUACAGAUGGAAACACUAAGACUCAGAGGAGAGGAGACAGAGCAGGCACUGGAACCAUAGUCUCCUGGCUCCAAAGUCAAGUUUUGUCCACCCCACCAGGCUCCUUCCUUCCUUCUAUAAAUGCUUUUAACAGUAUGUGCUGGACACUCUUGUUAGGGCCUUUUACACAUAUCACUCAGUCUGCUUUUCCCAUUCAUUUGACAAGUGUUUAUUGAGCUCCUACUGUGUGCAGGAGCUGGACUUGAUACUAGGGACAUCUUGUUAGAAAACUCAGGCAAAGUCUACCCACCUGGGGUUCUAACAAGACAAAGAGAGUGUUGGAGCUGUGGGCAAGGCUGUGAAGGCAAUGAAUGAAAUGGCGGGGUCAGAAAGGAAGGGCGGUCAGGGAUGCUCUCUGCAUGGAAGGGGCAUCUUCUUGGCUUUGAGACCCAAAUGCCAAAAUACCUGUGAGCAGCAGGCCAUGCCCACUCAGUGACAGAGCUGAGCCACAACCCUCCAUAGAUGCCAAACCAAACACCAGAUCAGGCCAGCAGUGAUGGACAAAGACCUUGGUCUGGAAGGGUCUUGCCACCUGAGCUCACAAGGGGAUUUUUGUUAUGCUCCUUAUUAUUAUUAUUAUUAUUAUUAUUAUGGCGGGGUUGGGGGUCUUUGGUGCACAAUAAACACUCUGGGAACCAUAAGUCAAGAUCUAGGCUCCAGUGCCUGCUCUGCCCUUGCUGUUUGACCUUGGGAUGCUAUCACCACCUCUCAGAACCUCAGCUUCCUUCCCCUUCUGUAAAAUGGAGAGUCUAAUAAUACCCACCUGGCAAGGGAGUCCAGGGAAGUCAAUGAGCUCCUUCGUGUAAAGAGCUGAUGUCUGCAUGUGGCCCUGGGUCACAGAUUUGUAAUGGGGAUUGAAAUUACUGAUAAGUGGCCAAGCAUGGUGGCUCACACCCAUGAUCCCAGCACUUUGGGAGGCUGAGGCAGGUGGAGCACCUAAGAUCAGGAGUUUAAGACCAGCCUGGCCAACAUGGUGAAACCCCAUCUCUAUGAAAAAUACAAAAAUUAGUUGGGCAUGGUGGUGUGUGCCUAUAAUCCCAGCUACUCGGGAGGCUGAGACAGGAGAAUCGCUGGAACCCAGGAGUUGGAGAUUGCAGUGGAGAUCCACUGCCCUCCAGCCUGGGCAACAAGAGUGAAACUUUGUCUCAAAAAAGCAAGCAAGCAAGCAAUUACUGAUAACCUUAUAGAUUCUCAGAGGACACAAGGGACUCAGAGUGGGGACCACACCCAUCCUCACACACAGAGACGGGAGCAGUCUACCUACCCAAGACCACAGAGCAACUGGUUGUCAGCAGCUGCAUCUCCACAGUCUCCCCAUUAUGGCUUCUGACCUGCCCUAGAGCAGCCCUUGGGCUUCCCCCUACCACCUCCUCUCCCUUCCUCACUUUAGCUCUUUUCUGUGGCCCCUGGUUAUGACCAAAGCCUGGGGAUCUUAUGAGUUUGAGGCAGCCUGAGCUUCUGUCUGUGCUUUCACCCAGAGCCAGAGCAUCAGGUCCAUGUACAUCAGCUGUGAUUCUCUGCUGCUUCAAAACCACCUAAGGUCUGGCUGGUUGUGUGUGUGGAAGAGGGGGUACUUUUCUUUCUCCAGGAUGACAUGAUAGAUUGAAAAGUACAUGGGAGGCUGGGUGCAGUGGCUCAUGCCUGUAAUCCCAGCAAUUUGGGAGGCUGAGGUGGGUGGAUCACCUGAGGUAGGAGUUCAAAACUAGCCUGGCCAACCUGGUUAAACCCCAUCUCCUAAAUGUACAAAAAUUCACUGGGGGUGGUGGCAUUUACCUGUAAUCCCAGCUACUCAGGAGGCUGAGGUAGGAGAAUCACUUGAAUCCAGGAAGCGGAGGUUGUAGUGAGCCGAGAUCACACCACUGCACUGCAGCCUGGGUGACAGAGUGAGACUUUGUCUCAAAAAAAAAAAUUAAAAAAUAAAAAGAAAAGUGCAUGGGCUCUAGAGGCAGAGAUGGAAUUGAAUCCAAGCUUUUACUUCUCAGCUGUGUGCCCUUGCACAAGUUCACUUCUCUGAGCCUCAGUUUUCUCAUCUGUGAAAUGGGAAUAUCUGGCUUCUAAGGGAUCUUAGGAUGACUGGGGAAUGCCUGGCACGUGGAAGGUGCUCAACCUGUGUGCUUUCCCAUGGCCAUCUAAGAGGCCUCAGGGCUGCCCUCCUGCCCUCCCCCACAACUCCUGUGACUGCCUCUUAAAUAGCUACUCCAGGUGAUAAGGAGGAAGAAGUGAGGGAGCCAGGCUAGAUCCACACCCACCCAUGCCCCUUGUUAGGAAAACAAGCCUUUAAUGCCUGGUCCUGCUGCUUUUGGCUGAGAGUAUAAAAUGGGACCCAGAGCCAACCUCUCCCUUUCUCUAAGGCACACCAAGGCAAUAGUGUUUAAAAGGAAAGGAGGCAGUGGCAUGGAGACUCCAGAGACCGAGCCCUUCCUAUGGCAAGAAAGGAGCUAGUGGAGCCCACUGCUGAGGGCCAUCUGGCUGGUGUUCCAUUCUGCCUUCCUCCUGGGGACCCACAGCCUCGUCAUCAGUGAUGUCUUCAGGUUCACUGUCCCCAAGCUGCUUAGGUGAGUCCAGACUUCAGGUGCUCUGCUAAGGCUGGUGGUCUCUUACUGGCAUCCCUCCAGGGUCAGGGGGCUUCAGCUCUCCUGCCUCUGCCUAUAGAUCUGGUGCUUGGGACACUGGAGCGUAGGUGAGAAGGAUACUGAGGAAGGGAAUUGAUUAAUGAGAAAGUGACUGACCCCCAGAAGGGCAAAUAAGCAAGCUGUUACCUGACUGCAUCAAUUAGCUUUUACUAUAAAAUGCUCCAAAAGUGAGUGACUGAAAAUUACAAGCAUUCAUUUAUUUAAUUCAUGGUAAUGUGGGUCAGUAACAUGGGCUGGGCUCAGCUGGGUGGGUCUUCUUUUCUUGGCUGGGUUUUCUCAUGUGCCUGCAGUUGUGUAUCUGAAGCUGGAAUGGCUGUCUCUGUUCCAUGAGGGUUCCCAUCCUCCAAAAAACUAGCUCAGACUUGUUCAUGUGGCUGCUUGGGAGGGUUCUAAGCAGUAGGCCAAAAGCCACAUUUUCUCCUGAGGCUCACAACUGGCAUAGCUUUACCUCCACUGUACUCUGUUGGUCAAAGAUGGUUUUGUGGCCAGCCCAGAUUCAAGUGGUGUCUGCUCAGCUGCCAUAACAGAGCAUCACAGACUGAGUAGCUUCAACAACAGAAACAUAUUUAUCUCAUGAUUCUGGAGGCUGGAAGUUCCAGAUCAGGUAUCUGCAAGUUGGUUCCAUCUGGGCCUCUGCCAUUGUCAUGCAGCUGGCCACCUCCUCUGUGUCAUCAUAUGGUCUUUCCUCUGUGUGCGCUCUGGUGUCUCCCUGUGUGUCCGCAUUUUCUCCUCUUAUAAGGACCCCAGUCAGACUGGAUGAGGGCCCAGCCUAAUGACCUCAUUUUAACUUCAUUCCCUCUUUAAAGGCCCUAUUUCCAAAUACAUUCACAUUCAGAGGCACUGGGGGUUGGGGGACAUACAAAUUUUGCGAGGACACAAUUUAGCCCAUAACAAGUGGGGAGAAAAACACCCUCUCUUGAUCUUGAGUAACUGCAGUAAGAUUGAAAAGAAGCAUGGACAGUGGGGGAAAUAACCGAGAUCAUGAUUGCAAAAAAGUCAACCACUCUGACUGAUCCUCCACACCUGGCCUGGUUUGGGCAAAGGCAACACACAUCGGCACGUCCUCUCACCGGCUGUACCUUUUCUUUCCCCUGCGAGCCUUUUCUUGGGUUUAUUGGUGAUCCCAAGCCUCCAGCCUGGAAGGACUACCUCCUUGCCAUGCUGAUGUUCCUCUCGGCCUGCCUGCAAACGCUGUUUGAGCAGCAGAACAUGUACCAGCCCAAGGUGCUGCAUAUAAGGCUGUGGUCAGCCAUCACUGGCCUGGUGUAUAGAAAGGCGAGCCCCGGGGUACAAGGGCAGACCUUCCAGCUGGAAAAGGAAACAUCACUUAGCUGGUUGGUAGUAAUGUUAUCAGCAGCUGAGAAUGCGUUCAGUCCUUACUUAUUCGUGUCACUCAUGAUAUAGUCUCACUUCUUUUGUUAUUUCUUUUUAUUUACAUGUAUUUAUUUUUUUGAGACAGAGUCUCGCUUUAUUGCCCAGGCCGUAGUGCAGUGGUGCAAUCCCUGCUUACUGCAACCGCCACCUCCUGGGUUCAAGCAAUUCUUCUGCCUCAGCCUCCUGAGUAGCUGGGACUACAGUCACAUGUCACCGUGCCUGGCUAAUUUUUGUAUUGUUAUUAGAGACAAGGUUUUGUCAUGUUGGUCAGGCUGGUCUCGAACUCCUGGCCUCAAGUGAUCUGCCUCACCUUCUUAGGUCUUUCUGUAAGGUCUUGUGUGAUGUGCUCCUGGGACCUCUCUGACCUAAUCACAUCUCACACACAUGCCUCCUCCCAUACUCACUCUCCAGAUGUAUAAUGACAUGUAUCUAUUAUUUUUAUAGGAUAUAACAGUUUCACUGCCCUAAAAAUUCUCAAUACUAUGCUUGUUAAUCUCUCCCUUUCUUCCUAGGAACUCCAACCACUGAUCUUUUCUAUCUUCAUAGUUUUACUUUUUUCAGAAGAGUCAUAUAGUUGAAAUAAUACAGUGGAUAUAUUUUUGAUUAGUUUAAAAAUUUAAGUUCUGUGGUAACUGAAUGUGGUCAUUUAAGAUAUACUUUGUCCUUUGGUUUUUAUUUUUUAUCAUAAGAUCGGAUGACAUGUGCUUUACAUAUUUAGAAAACAUGAUUUGUGUAGAUAUUUACCACAUAAUGGAAAGGGCUGAGGAAAAUGACACCGUGCAUUACCACACAGCACAUACUGGAGCAUCUUGGUGUAUGGGGUGGGUUCAGAUAGACUCUCUGUUCCUUGGAAGGUGACAAGUUCAAGAGGUUGUACUUGAUAAAACUGGAAUCACAAAGUCUUCCAUACAUACUUUCAGUUGGAAAUAAGACCAGGCAGUGAAUGCUAUAGGUAAAUACCCAUGCUCAUCACGGAUCCUCUUCCUUUGAGAAAUGAGUUUGAAAACAGUCUGUAUUAGGAUGACAUGACUCACCUAUGGCUAGAUUCUCUGUCAUGAGGGACGGAAAGGAAAUCACACAAUUUUGCUUUAUAUGAAGUUAAAGAAUUUUUUUCUUCUACUAGGGAGAGGGGAAAGCAUUGGCACAUUCUGGUAGCAAGAGGGCAUUGAUAGUUUUCUUUCUAUAUAUUUUUCAUAUCAGAUAGUACUGCCUGGCAGCCUGCCACACCUCCCCAGUGUUUCUUAAGCUUCUCUUUGAAUGUGACGUGCGAUUCAGAGUGGAUAAGCUCUUAAAGGCGUGAUCUUUCCAGUGGUUCUUUCUGUGGGAGGUAAAACGGCAGGCGAAUUUGGGCCUUGUUAUACGUAGAGCUGAGCAUAUAACUACAACUAAGUAAACUUUCCCCAGAAGAGUAUUAGCCAGAGUAAUACACUGAUCUCUCUUGAGCUCUUCUCCACUGGCAGCUGGAAAGUUUUUGCAAGGAUCCUUCUUUCUGGUCUGAUUCCUGUUUUGCUGGCUUCCAGUGACAAGUUAUUUUAUCCAAACUGAAGAGUUUUAACUGCAGAGCUAGAGAGGCUGUAUUGUGUUCAACAAAAUAAGUGCAGUAGUUAAGACUACCAGUAAAUGCCUGAAACCCCAAAGGUACUGAAUCACAUACCAUUUUUUCUACACAUAUAUAUCUAUGAUAGCAUUUAGUUUAUAAAUUAGGCACAGUAAGAAAUUAACAGUAACUCAUAAUAAAAUAUAUUGUUAUGGUUCUCACCCUUUUCCUGUGAUGAUGUGAAGUGAUACAAUGCCUGUGUACUGAGAUGAAGUGAGGUGAAUGAGGUAGGCAUUGUAAUGCAGUGUUAGGCCACUAUGCAUCCCCUGAAUCUAAGUCAGAAAAAGGAAGAUGAGCUGUGAGUGACCCUGGAUCUCCAGGCCUGAAUGAUGUUGAUGGCUGGCAACAGAAGGGGACCGUGUUGAUGACUAAUGGGUGAACAGUAUAUGCAGUGUGGAUAUACUGAACAAAGGGAUAAUUCACAUCCUGAUCUGGAUGAAGGGGGCUCAAGGUUUCAUUGCACUUCUCAGAAUAGUGCACUAAAGCUUAUGACAUGUUUAAUUUCUGAAGUUUUCCACGUGAUAUUUUUCAAAUACAAUUGACUAUUAGCUGUAACCACAGAAAUAAA